rnacentral:rRNA from 1 species
UACGAAGGGGGCUAGCGUUGCUCGGAAUCACUGGGCGUAAAGGGUGCGUAGGCGGGUCUUUAAGUCAGGGGUGAAAUCCUGGAGCUCAACUCCAGAACUGCCUUUGAUACUGGCGGUCUCGAGUCCGGGAGAGGUGAGUGGAACUGCGAGUGUAGAGGUGAAAUUCGUAGAUAUUCGCAAGAACACCAGUGGCGAAGGCGGCUCACUGGCCCGGUACUGACGCUGAGGUGCGAAAGCGUGGGGAGCAAACAGGG